GACGAACGCUGGCGGCGUGCCUAAUACAUGCAAGUAGAACGCUGAAGAGAGGAGCUUGCUCUUCUUGGAUGAGUUGCGAACGGGUGAGUAACGCGUAGGUAACCUGCCUUGUAGCGGGGGAUAACUAUUGGAAACGAUAGCUAAUACCGCAUAACAAUGGAUGACACAUGUCAUUUAUUUGAAAGGGGCAAUUGCUCCACUACAAGAUGGACCUGCGUUGUAUUAGCUAGUAGGUGAGGUAAUGGCUCACCUAGGCGACGAUACAUAGCCGACCUGAGAGGGUGAUCGGCCACACUGGGACUGAGACACGGCCCAGACUCCUACGGGAGGCAGCAGUAGGGAAUCUUCGGCAAUGGGGGCAACCCUGACCGAGCAAAGCCGCGUGAGUGAAGAAGGUUUUCGGAUCGUAAAGCUCUGUUGUAAGUCAAGAACGGGUGUGAGAGUGGAAAGUUCACACUGUGACGGUAGCUUACCAGAAAGGGACGGCUAACUACGUG
rnacentral:rRNA from 1 species